UGCGAAACUCGAAUGAACGAACGGAGAGAUUCAUCGUCAUUCUCUGGCGCCGUUGCGCUCCUCUCGAUGUCGUCGAUCUCGGUCGUGCGGCACGGAGUGUGUAACGAGUGUCCAGGGACGGCGUGCACUUCUCUCUUAGUAAUACAUCGCGACCCGUUCGACGUCGAUCUAAGCGCUGCUCGGGAGUCACUCGGUAGAUUUUCGGAUUUACCGGGUUACCGCGGCGGUUGCCGAUCGGCUGUUGGACGGUAUAACAACGAAACGCGUACGCGUUUACGCGCGUCCGGCCCGACGCAAGGUAUCGUCGUAUCCCCCGUUCUGCCCGAGUGCGGACGGGGGUGCGGCGCGCCUGUUUGUCGCUGCCGUGCAGUCUCGGACUGUACGCGUCUCCGUCUGCGAUGAUUCAGUUUCGG
rnacentral:rRNA from 1 species